rnacentral:lncRNA from 1 species
CAAGACACUUCAUAUCACAACAUGAACAAUGCCCAGCCUGCUUAAUACCCUAUGGUAGAAGAGAACAGAUCAACCUCAUAAACAUAUAUUUUCACAGAACCAGGCAAAAUAAAAAUACAUUAAUAAAUUUUAAAAAUGGUCUGCAUUCCAAGGAGUUGCAUACUUACUAAAGACAGACAUAACCUACCUUGGCAAUUAUAUAAACUUUUUUUUUUUUUUUUAAAUAGAGACAGUGUCUCAUUCUGUCACCCAGGCUGGAGUGUAGAUACGAUCAUAGCUCACUGUAUCAAAUUCCUCAAAUUCCUGGGCUCAAGCAAUCCUCCUGCAUCAGCCUGGGUAGCUGGGAUUACUACAACCAGGUACAUGCCACUACACCUUGCUAAUUUUUAAAUUUUUUUUGUAGAGAUGGGGCUUCACUGUGUUGCCCAGUCUGGUCUUGAACUCCUGGCCUCAAGUGAUCCUCCCACCUUGACUUUCCAAAGUGCUGGGAUUAUAGGUGUGAGCUACCACACCCAGCCUAAACAAUUACUUUAUUAGAAGCUUCUGAAUUAUGUAUGAACUGAGCAAAUUUCACUUAAUAACAUAAACUUCAGUUCUUAUUAACAAUUUUUGAAUGUAAGCCUAAAGAUGCCUGAAGAAACUGCUGCUGCUCAAUGAAGCUGUCUAGCAAUUUUCUUGCAACUCAGCAUCAUGGAAAGGUCUCUGUAAGGAAGUGGCUCCCACCAGGGAGCAGAACAGGAAGGGAUGCAAGCGCAGCACCACGGGGCUCUCUUUUCCGCUAAGACACCUGCAGACUUGGCUAGGUCUCCAACUGAAUUCUCACAGAAAAACGGGGGUGGGAAAACAAGCAAAUGUCAAAUAAACACAGCAUAUUGCUACACCCUGUUAAGUCUACCCUGCUGUAUCUUAAGGCGAAGCAAGUAUGCCAUAUACCAACCCCAAGGACACCAGAAGCCCCUGGGUGGGAAACGGCUACAGCAGGCCGGGUGCCUGUGGCUGAGUUAACAACCAUACCUGGUUCUUGCGCCUGAGCACAACUACUGUAUUUUGGUUUCUAAAUACAAAAUUCUCAAUAAAAAAGCAAUAAAGGAAACAACAGGUUUCAGAUGAUAUACUUUUAUAAUGUAGAUUCUUUUUUUUACCUUUUUCAGAAUGUCAUCGACAAGUUUCAAAAAUAUCUCGUCCACAUUGAAGUUAUCCUUGGCACUUGCUUCACAGAACCGCAUCCCAGUGAUCUGCUGUGCAAACUGAGAAGAAACACACACCUAUUUCCUCUGUGUGGGGCCUCACAGACCAGCGUGCGAGCAUGAGAAUGAAUUUAAAGGAGCACGAAGUCAAAAAAGUGCAAACAAAUUAGGAGGAUGUGACUGAGUUAUCACUGUAUUGAUAAUUUCUUUGUAAUUUUUAAAAUAAGUAAUUUAUUAAAAGAAACAGUACCUCAAGCGCUAAGCACAGUGUGUGGCAACCGUGCCUCCCACGCCCUCUCACCUUUUCCCCCUGCUGCCUGGUGAUUUCUCUGUCCGUUUCACAGUCCAACUUAUUUCCAACUAAGAGAAGCUCUGCAUCUUCUGAAGCAUACUGUGGAAUUUUAAAAGAAGCCACAUUUCAAAGAUGGGCAUCGCCAUAUACUGACAGCAGAAAUAUAAACCGAUACAGUAUUUUUCGCUAAUUUACAUUUGUCCAUUCACUUCCACUGUCUUUGAGGUUCUACCAGUUCCCAGGCAGGACUGGGCAGCAGUGCAAGGCAGGGCUCACUGUGUCUUAGAAAGAACUAGGGCACAGGCAUUAAGAACCACAAUGCUCUUGGCUGUUGACCCAACAAUUCCCAAGACCUCUUCCUAAGGAAAUGAUUCAACAUACAGGCAAAGCUCUACACUCAAAAUGGUUAUCAACUGAAAAACCUACAAGUCAAACAAAAUGGCUCAAGAAUCAAGUUAUUUUAAAAACACAGGCAUUUAAAAAAACACACGCUUCAGAAGAACAGAGAAUGACACAGGAAGGACUCCAUGACAGAAUAUUCACAAAAUAAGCAAGACGUAAAGCUAAAUACAGUGAAGCCAAUUUGGUUUUUCAGGAUGCCAGAGGUACAGAUUUCUUCUUUACUUUUGUGCUUUUCUUCAUUUUCCAAAUUUCUAUAAUGAAGGUAUCAUUAAUUUUAUAACCAGGAAAAAAGUUAAGCUACAUUUCUAAGUUUAAAAAUACAUAUAGGUACAAUGAGAUUUCUGUCUUUAAAAAUGAGGUUAAAAUCUCUUGAGCAACUAACUUGUCGUUCUAAAAAGUUACUUGAAACAGACUGCAACAAAAGGAACCUGAAUGGUGUGGCCGUGGGCCAGUUACGCAGCCAGGUGAGGAGUGCCGGCCCCUUAUCAGGGAGGUGUGGGUAACAGUGACAGCACCCACCGCAGGGCUGGGGCAAUGGGCCCCGCACUCAGGAAAUGAUGCUCUCACUCAAGUAAGGUGAAAAGCAGCAGUUGAUGACAAAAGGAAGACAGCAUCAGACCUCAAGACCUGGGUGGGCACAGACUCACAAACUCAAGUACCAAAUGGGGUAGGAUUUAGGCCAUUUCUUUUGGUUUUGUAUUCAUCCUAUUAGUUCUAAAAGUUUUAGACUAUGAGGACUGUCCACUUCUAAUUUCCACAGGAUUGCACUCUGUGACUUCCGUAUCAGGGAACAUCAGUAUCCACUGAUGUGCCAAUGGAGGGCCUGGUAUGACUGAUGCCCAGUGCAGAGCAGGCUGGGGCAGGGGCCCCGCCUCAGGUCUGAUCCAACCUUGCAACCCUGAUCCUAACAACUUUUUUUUUUAAUGAAAAAAAAAAAAAAAAAAAAGAGAGAGAGAGAGAUGGAGUCCCACUAUGUUGCCCAGGCUGGUCUCGACCUCCUGGGUUCAAGUGAUCCUCUUGCUUUGGCCUUCCAAAGUGCUGGGAUUACAGGUGUGAGUCACCAUGCCUGGCCACCAAUCCUAACACAUUUUAAAGAGGCAUACAUCAUCAAUGACAUGCUUGGUAAAGCUGGCAAACAUUCUCCAAUGUUAUCUAGCAGACAGGUUUAAAUGCAAUGUGUAGAUAAAAUCCAAUUUAUAUUGCAUAUGCUUGUUAUGCAAAGGAACUAAACAUGAAACUACUGCACGAGGGGAAGAAAACUCAAAAUGUGGUCAAUGGUAUAUCAUCACAUCCCACUCCCAACUGCUCUGCCUUCUAAAUGUGUAUUUGGGAACAUGUUUCUUAGCGGAGAACCCACGGUUCACAUUAACCACAGGGACACAGCCUAUCUGUAUGAUUCCAUCACGAGCCAAAGGAGAACUCGAGCUCCUCUUGCUCAAAAUGAGGAGCUAAAGGGCAUCUAUAAUUGCGAGGACAGAUGUCCAGUGGGUGACGGAGGCGCGUGGGACAUCCGCAGGCACCGUGGAGAAGGCCAUCUCCUCAAGGUUGUCACUCAGUGGACGUGCAUGAGAUGAGUGUCCAGGUGACCUUUCCGCAGAAAUGAAAUGUCUUAUAUCUAUUCCAUGAAAGCAGCUGGAUGUAGUGGAAUGAGCAUGUUUGGCCUCUGUAGUUGAGACAGUCCAGGAUACCAGACGAAAAAUCCUGAUUCUGGAUAAAUUUAAUUCUUCUUUGCCUCAUCCACAAUACAGGACUACAUCCCUAUCCCGAAGGCUAUAUAUGGGCUAAAUGAUGUUUAGUCUAUAUGAAAACAUGCUCAAUACAUGUGUUUCCCCUCCUUCUUUUAAUAAUGAUUAAGACUCACAAGCAGAGAGUUCACAUUGGACAGAAAAAUGCAACAUUUACCUUAUCAAUCAUCUUCAUCCAUUUCGGCAAAUCAUCAAAUGUCUCCUUCUUAGUGAUAUCAUAUACUAAUAUGAUCCCCUUGGCACUUCUG